CAAAUGAACAUUUACUAAAUACCUGUAAAAUUGGGGUAGCCAGUAUGACUUCUUAAAUAUUAAAGAUCAACUGGCAAAGAUAUGAGAAAAUGUGGGUGCUUUUUUUAAUAAUAUGUAUGCUUUAAAUAAGUGCACAGAAUCAGGCUUGCUAUUUUGCAGAGUUAAUAGUUUUGUAGGAAAAAACAGUCACAAGAAAUGCCCAUUGAGGCAAAUAUUAAAACUCUUAACUGAAAUUAAAAAUGUUUUUAAGACAAACUCCUUUCUGUGCAUCUGCAGCUUUAACUCUUUGGUGAAAGUCAAUUAUGUGCAAGCAUUAACUUUAAAGAAAACUUCUUCAGAGUGUCUGGUGCAUAAAGUGAAGUAAAGCUGCAUGUUUUCCAGUCUGAUGGCAGUAAUGCAGGUCCUCUAGAAAGAAAGCAACGAACAAGUUUUCAAGUUUGCCUGCAGUGGCUGAGAUGACUCACUCAUGUCACAGGGGAUAAUUUCACUGCAACCAUUGAGAAUUUUGUUAUUUUCUUUCUGGGAGAAGGAAUAGAUGGGUUUAUUUUAAGUACGGGGGCAAAGGGAUUGUUAGUGGGAAUUCUACACAAAACUACACAAGAUGUGAGCUGGACAAGAAUCAUUCAUAUCUUAAGAUAAGUUACUUCAAAAUAUGAGUAUAAUUACUCCUAAAAUGUCACUUUGAGUUGCUUUAUUUUUUAUUUUUAUUUUUUGCUUAGCUUUUUUUUUUUUCUUUGAAGGUAAAGGAAACACUUAAAAUAAUGACUGGGGUUACUGGUAUUUAUACGCCAAGAGUUGUCCUACAAUGCCUCUCUUCAUCUUCAAAUAAACAGAUGACCAUAUGUAAAAUAACCAUUAUAUAGUCUGAGUAUUUUAAAUCUGGCUUUUAUGUUUGAAAUGCAUCUAAUAUCACCUACAAAGAUCAGCGCUGCUAUCCUCAAGCUCCUGCUUUGCUUGAGAGUCCACAAAAGACACAGAAAACUAGGCUGCAUCCUGUGCACCUGCCUUCCUGUCAAGAAACUUACCUCAGGCUAAUGCAUGCAGAGGGACAGGUCAGAUUGUGUGAAGGUUCUAUGCAAACUGCCCAAGAUCACUUGGGGCCCCACUGGCAUCACUGAAAGGCAUUGCUGGGUUUACGGUCUCCUGAAUAGCUCCAACCUGUUGUUGAGAGUCAAGCCACGAUGUAGAAAGAAUCGCUGCACUUUCCCAGGGCUGCUCCGCAGUGUGAGUGGCCACUAGCUCUCUUUUCCUAUGACCCCAGUGCUGUUUGGGUUUGCUCUCCAGAAGAACAGGUAGAUACAUUUGCAGCUGGCGGGGGCACUGCUUUAUUGCCUAUUGUGGAAUGCGUGCCAAAUAAAAACCAUCGUGAUUUGAAAUCGGCAAUCUUAUAUGCUUUUCAGGUUACUCGGAUGUUCAAACACACGUAACCAACCAUCAAUAUGAGAAAUUCUCCUUUAAGCUGUUAGUGUAUUACAGCCUGUGACUUUUCAACUCGGGGAAUGAUACUCAUUUCUCUAUCUGUUCCAUACAGAACAACUUUUUCUUUAUUGCAUUUAGAAUGGUGUAACUGAAAGGCAAUAAGGAAAGGCAAUAUCAUUGAGUGGUUCACAUUACGCUGAAUUUUAUUGUAGUCUGGCAUUGUGAGUGAACUUUUGGAAUCCUUGAAAGCAGCAUAAAGGCAGAGCCUGCUUCUAAUGGACUGAAGAAAAAUAUUCUGACAUAAUGAUAAGUGGGGUGACUUCUAGAAAUCAUGACUUGAAACAUUUCUGAACAAAUGCUAUUUCAGUUGUCCCAAUGCACAGAGUGAUAUUGAAACAGCCUGCUAUAGGCCAGAACCACUAAUUUUUUUCCCUAAGGGCAGAACUUCAUUUUUAAAGAUAUAGAAUGAUCCACAACUCUAAAUUCCAGCUAAAAUUUCUUUUCUUCCAUUCUCCUCCAAUUAUUCUCCCAAGCUAUUACAUCAGAGGUAUUAGAAUUUAGGUGCUAUGAUCAUAUUUACUUUAAUAUGUUUAUUUUCCAAUUGUAAAAUGGACACAUAAGAGAUUUUUAUAAUUAUCAAAUGGCUAAUUUUUAAACAAUAAGUCUUUUUAUUGUCUUCAUUCUCUGCUUUUGAAAUAUAUGGAGUUGCAUAUUCUUAAGUUUUGAAUUGUUUUAGAGAACUAGUAUAGAUGUAUUUUUCACCUCCUAUGAGAAUUUCAGGAGCAGUAAUAAAGGGCAAACCAACACAGGGACAUCUUUGUUUUGGGUUAUUUAAAGGAUACACCAUUUAAUCUUUCAUACAGUACUGAAAAUAUUCGUAACAGUUUUCUAGUUUAAAGAUACUUUAAUAUUUAAUGUAGUAUUUUAAUUACAUUUUUAAAAAUAUGUUUUAAAAAGAAAAUGUUUAAAAAUAUUUUUAAAAUUUUAUUCGAUAGCUUUUAAUAUUACUAAUAAUGUACUAAAAUAAGAAAAUGGGUGAGAAUGAUGGUGAAGCCAUAGCAAAGGCAGAGACAUGUCCUUUCUGCAAAAGUGACAACAGGGUAAGCAGGCUAUGAGGACUCAGCCCUCUGAACAAUCUUUGCAUCCCUGAAUGAUCUCUAAUGUUCAUUAGGCUUGUGUUACAGAUGCUUGUUUUCCUCUCUUUCCUGUAAGGCCUUGCAGUAAUUUAAAGUAACCAGAAUAUGUUUCCAUUCCUUGUUACCUGAAAAAGUCAAACAUACUCAUGUUAUACAGGUAAAAUGGAAUGGUACAUUAUGUGAAAAUUAUUUGUAAACUGUCAAAUUAUGUUCAAAUAUGAGGUAAGAUCUGAGAAGCUUAGGAUAUAAGUUAGUCUCAAAACUUAAAUGCUUUUCAAGGGAAAAUUUAUUUGGUGAUUAACUAGAAUUUUAGUUGCAAUAUGUAAUCCUUGACUUUUUGAAGUAGCCUAGAGGUGGUCAGGACUUGUAGAUUACAAUAGUCCUUUACUUACUUGAAUAUUGAUCUGGUAGUACUGAAUACUGAAUACUGACAAUUUAAACUCUUUGGCAGAAAGUGCUCUUAUAAAACUUCUAGAAAAUUUAUUAUUUUAAAAAUUUUUAUUAUGUAUUUAUUGUGCACAACAUGAUGGGUGUGUUUGUUUGUUUGUUUGUUUUGAGACGGAGUCUUGCUCUGUCACCCAGGCUGAAGUGCAGUGGUGCCAUCUCAGCUCACUGCAACCUCCACCACCUGGGUUCAAGCAAUUCUCUGCCUCAGCCUCCCGAGUAGCUGGGAUUACAGGUGCCUGCCACCACGUCAGGCUAAUUUUUGUAUUUUUAGUAGAGACGGAGUUUCACCAUCUUGCCCAGGCUGGUCUUGAACUCUUUACCUUGUGAUCCACCCGCCUCAGCCUCCCAAAGUGCUGGGAUUACAGGCAUGAGCCACCGUGCCCAGCCCACAACAUGAUGUUUUGAAGUAUACAUACACUGUGGGAUAGUUAAGUCUAGCUAAUUAACAAAUGUGUUACCUCACAUAGUUAUCAUUUUUGUACUGAGAACACUUAACAUUCACCAUCUUCUCAUUUUUAAAUAAUGUAAUCUAUCGUCAUUAACUAUAGUCACCAUGCUGUACAAUAGAUCUCUUGAACUUAUUUCUCCUAUCUAAUUGUAAUUAUAUAUCCUUUCAUCCACAGUCAUAUUGAUGAUUAUUUAGCAUAAAUUGUUAACAAAGAUCUUUUUCUAUUUUAGAACAGAUUGGAAGAAUGCGAAAUGUUAUUAGACACAGGCACAGCAUAGCAGUAGAAACAUCUUAACUGAGAACUUGGAACUGAAAGAGAAAGCAACCAACUUAAAGGGCAGACAAGACACAUGGUUAUGUAACACAGCAGUGGGUAUUCACAGUGAUGACACAAGACAAAACAAUUACAUUUUCAUUCUAAAAGUAAUUUUUAAGGAGGCAAGGGCAUUUAUAAAACAUUUUAGAAACUAUUUAAUAAAAAUGGUAAAAUUAAAGUGUUUGUUUAUGUACUCAACAAAUAUUUAUUUGGAAAGUGCAUGCCUGGGGGCACAUCUCGUUAAUGAGGUGAUCCUGUGUUUAGAACUGAAGGCAGUCCUCAUCCAUUCUCUCAAAAGGUGACCUUCUUUGUUCUUCUUAUAGCCUCACCACAUUUAAUUUUCAGAGGUUUUGACAUAAAUUAAAAACAUUCUUUGGUAGAUUGUAUUGUAUGAAAACAAUCUUCAAAAGUGUAAGCAUUGAUAUCUGGAAUAUCUGGGAAAAUGUACAAUAAAGACAUCUCUUCUGGUCUUCCUCUGAUGGUAAUGUGUUCACUAUUAUACUGAUGAUGUAAGCUAUGUAUGUAAACCUAUGCAGGUAAAAUUCUGCUAAAGCCAAUCCCACUACAAAACAACAACAACAACAAACCCCAAGUGGCAUCUGAAGAGCUUGGGAAUUCCAGGAAUGUGAUAAAAAUGUUUUUAAUAAUACACGGAAAAAUAAUUUAGUGUGUAAAUAAUAUUUUAUAGUAAAUGCUUCAUUUUAUUCCUUCCAUAUAACAACUGUCUUCUGUAAUGAAAAUACUUACUUGUUUGUUUAGUGUCUAAAGGUUGAGAAGGGAACUAGAAUUGGCCUAAGGAGGCCCUCAGCCACCCAUCAUGUGACAGUAUGGCCAGGAGGACUUACUCUCUGCUCUCCUCCUCUUGACAUGCCUCAAACACACCAAUCAUUUGCACUUGGGAAAUCAACCCUCACUAGCAAAUUACUCCUGCCAACAAAAUAACCCAAUCAGCAUGCAAAACUGGUAGCGAGCUGGGAGAGGGCGAUGAGAGUGGUGUUCACAUGGCUCCCUCUGUUUCCCUUUCCCCAGGUCUGGGCACACACUGUCAGUCAGUGGCCCCUGACUCAGAAAGAGGUUUGAUUUAAACCAUUUCAUUUUCUGCUCUCAGACUGGGAAUUUAUUUAAUAUGAAUGUCAUCAUUAUAACAAAACUCAACUGUAUUCUAGCAAAAAUUUGGCUGAUCUAUGAAGAAUAUUGGAAGGAGAAUCUGUGAACCCAAAAAUACUAGACCACUGCUUAUUCAGUUCUGCAAUUUUGUCACUUUAAUGGACUCUUCAGAGUGCCAAAUCACUAGUCCUACUGACUAUACAAAAAUUGGCCAUCAACAUGCCUGCCUCCAACAAAUUGUUGCUGUUACUUCAUGUUAUCCACUUUGGGCUUAGAGACUGAAGGCCAAAAAGCAUCCAAUUUUUAUGGUAAAAAAGUGCAUCAGGAGGGCAACUACAUACAAAGUUACCCUCCCAGUUUGACCCUGUCCUUAAGUUUUUAUUGCCUGAACUGGCACCAAAGAAACUCCUUGAAAAUAACACAUUCCUUGUCCAUUCAGUGGUUAAUGAUGCUUAAAAAAAAUCACAGUUUGUGACUGUGACCUAAAUUAUGCCAGAAGCUGUAAAACCAUGGUUUCUUUAAAUUCAAAUAUGACCCACAUGCUUUAAAACCACUACACUGACCCUAUAGUACUGUUGCUGAGUGUGCGUGUCCUCACAUAAACACAGACACACACACACACACACACACACACACACACACACACUCCCCACUUGGCAUUAAAUGACUCGAUAAAAGAAAUGGUAUUUUUCAGACUUCCAUGUUAAAAAAAAGGCUCAUGAAAGAGAUGUAAGUGAGCUUUAAGCCAAACAUUUGUUUGGCUUUGCUGCAGCAGGCUGCAGGAAUGUAAACUUUUUUUUUUUUUUCAAUGACUUCAGCUCCUAAUUUGAAAGCUAGGAUUUUUAGGAGUGAGCAAGAGACUAUAUUUGGCCAAAAAAUUCUGCUGGCUUUACUUAGCCAAUCUGCACAUUCAAAACAAUACUUCUUUAUCAAAAAAACAAUAGUCUGUUUUAUUCACAGCACAUGUAGAAGUUGGAACAUCGACUAAAUUCCACUUUCUUCUCUUGCAGUGUGUCUGUAACCAGCUAAUGAGCUGCAACAGAGCCUGGCCUUCAUUUUCAGCAAAUUAAGUUCAUCCCUCAUAGGAAUUGUGGUCUGGCUGUGGCACCGCUCCUAGGUUCUCUAAACAUGAAUAUGCCUUUGGGGGAAGACAGAAGAACAUGGAAGCCAUGUGAAAAAAACGGAUCCUAAGGCAGUUUUGAACAUCUGGAGGCCUGAUUUAUUGGAGAUUGCAAAUGUACAGUGUAACAUAGCUGUGGAGAGCGAGAAGAUCAGGAUUGUCAAUGCUGUCAUUGCUUUUACUGGAAUCCCCAGCACGAAUUGAAG
rnacentral:lncRNA from 10 species